rnacentral:lncRNA from 13 species
CACGUCGUGCUCGAUUUUUGCUGUAUUUUUGCUCUCAGUACUUAAUGAGACAUAUCGUGCUGCAUCUUUGCCGCGGUUCUGCUUUUAUAACGUGGCAAUAUUUAAUACCGUAUUUCUGUUGUCUUUUUACUAUCAGUUUCUGAUAUUGCAGACUGUGCUCGAUAUUUGCUAUGUAUUUGUUGUCACGACGUUGCAGCAGAUAAUGCUCGAUCAUUGCUGCGUUUCUAUCGUCGUUCUAUGUUGACAAAUUGUACCGUUAGAAACUAUGCUUAAUGAGGAAGUAGCAGCUUGAAAUCUGCUGUUAAUUCGUGAUUAAGUUUGCUGGCAAACUAACGGCAAGCUGCUGGCAUUUUGCUAUCUAGAAGCAAAUCACAGACGUCAACGCGAUGGCACAGAUUUUCUUCCAUAAGAACAUAAGGAACCCAUAUGUCGAGCUUUGAGAUUAAACCUAGGCGUUUCAAAUGAUCAUGAACGGUCGAAUUCGAUAAACCUAACCUCUCAGCGAUCUCACGAGUUUUUAUUCACCGGUUUGUAUCAAUUAAUGCCUUUAUUGUGUUUUCAUCAGCUUCAACUCUUCUUCCAGAACGUGAUGCAUCUUCAACAUCAAAAUUGCCAACAUCGAAAUUUUGCAAACCAGUUUUGGCACUGGCGUUCUGUCAUUACAUCUCCAUACACUCGAAUAAUUUUUGUUUUACUUGAACAGCAUUUUUACCUUUUCGAUAAUAAAAAAUAUGCCGAAAAUGCUGCUUUUUUGCUUUCCAUAUUUGAUAGGGCACCAAACAAAAACUUCUGCGUAGAAUCAAUCGAAUUUUUUCACAAGCAAACCUUGCUAUAUCAGCUGUCAAAAUAUAUAAUGAAUAUGCUGCUUAAGUGUGAAGUUGCCCUCUGUUGGGAAAAAACAAAAUUACUUUCCGAACAACCCAAUAUAUUUCUACACUAAUCAAAUUUUGUAUAUAAUAAACACAUAAAUUGAAUUAUAUAAAUGCAGUAUAAAAGGUGAAACUUGUAACUAAUUUUAAAUUAGUUUUAUGUUUUCUUGUUGUUAGUUAAUGAGCUAUCAUUAGAUAGUAUAGGUAUGGAAUGUGUGAGUAAUAAUUUUUUGUAAACCAAGUCUCCUUGUCUGUAAAAGGCUGUAGAGAACAAAUGUUUUAGUAGAAUCAUAUAGAUCAGUAAAUAAAUGUUUAACUUAUAUUAAUUAUA